AUCAACGCUGGCGGCGUGCCUAACACAUGCAAGUCGAACGAGAAAGAUCCCCGCAAGGGGAUUGAGUACAGUGGCGAACGGGUGAGUAACACGUGACUAACCUACCUUCCAGUGGGGGAUAACCUCGGGAAACCGGGGCUAAGACCGCAUAAUCUCGCGAGGUGAGAAUCCUUGUGAGCAAAGGGGUAAGACGCUGGUAGAGGGGGUCGCGGCCGAUUAGCUAGUUGGCGGGGUAACGGCCCACCAAGGCGAUGAUCGGUAGCCGGCCUGAGAGGGCGCACGGCCACACUGGAACUGAAACACGGUCCAGACUCCUACGGGAGGCAGCAGUGGGGAAUUUUGCACAAUGGGGGAAACCCUGAUGCAGCAACGCCGCGUGGAGGAUGAAGUCCCUUGGGACGUAAACUCCUUUCGACCGGGACGAUAAUGACGGUACCGGUGGAAGAAGCCCCGGCUAACUCCGU
rnacentral:rRNA from 1 species